rnacentral:rRNA from 1 species
GACAAGAAAUAACAAUACGGGGCUUAAAGUCUUGUAAUUGGAAUGAUGGGAAUCUAAACCUCUUCCAGAGUAUCAAUUGGAGGGCAAGUCUGGUGCCAGCAGCCGCGGUAAUUCCAGCUCCAAUAGCGUAUAUUAAAAUUGUUGCAGUUAAAAAGCUCGUAGUUGAAUUUCUGCUGCACUGCAUUUGCUCCUUGACGAGUGUCUGUAUUGCGGCUUAUUUCGGAUUAUGCUUGCAUUUUCCGGAUGUUUACUUUGAGAAAAUUAGAGUGCUCAAAGCAGGCUUUUGCCUUGAAUAGUUUAGCAUGGAAUAAUAAAGUAGGACUUUGGUUCUAUUUUGUUGGUUUUAGGUACCAAAGUAAUGGUUAAUAGGAACAGUUGGGGGCAUUCGUAUUUAACUGUCAGAGGUGAAAUUCUUAG